GACGAACGCUGGCGGCGUGCUUAACACAUGCAAGUCGAACGAUGAAGAAGAGCUUGCUCUUCGGAUUAGUGGCGAACGGGUGAGUAACACGUGACUAACCUGCCCCUUUCUCUGGGAUAACGCUCCGAAAGGAGUGCUAAUACCGGAUACUCACAUCGAGGCACAUGCCUUGAUGUGGAAAGUUUUUCGGAAAGGGAUGGAGUCGCGGCCUCUCAGCUUGUUGGUGAGGUAACGGCUCACCAAGGCGACGACGGGUAGCCGGCCUGGGAGGGCGACCGGCCACACUGGGACUGAGACACGGCCCAGACUCCUACGGGAGGCAGCAGUGGGGAAUAUUGCACAAUGGGCGAAAGCCUGAUGCAGCGACGCCGCGUGAGGGAUGAAGGUCUUCGGAUUGUAAACCUCUUUCAGUAGGGACGAAGCGAAAGUGACGGUACCUAAAGAAGAAGCACCGGCUAACUACGUGCCAGCAGCCGCCGUAA
rnacentral:rRNA from 1 species